AUUGAACGCUGGCGGAAUGCUUUACACAUGCAAGUCGAACGGUAGAGGGGGCAACCCCUUGAGAGUGGCGAACGGGUGAGUAAUAUAUCGGAACGUGCCCAGUCGUGGGGAUAACGUAGCGAAAGUUACGCUAAUACCGCAUACGAUCUAAGGAUGAAAGCGGGGGAUCGCAAGACCUCGCGCGAUUGGAGCGGCCGAUAUCAGAUUAGGUAGUUGGUGAGGUAAAGGCUCACCAAGCCGACGAUCUGUAGCUGGUCUGAGAGGACGACCAGCCACACUGGGACUGAGACACGGCCCAGACUCCUACGGGAGGCAGCAGUGGGAAUUUUGGACAAUGGGCGCAAGCCUGAUCCAGCAAUGCCGCGUGCAGGAUGAAGGCCUCGGUUGUAAC
rnacentral:rRNA from 1 species